rnacentral:rRNA from 1 species
UACGUAGGUGACCAGCGUUGUCCGGAUUUACUGGGCGUAAAGAGCGCGCAGGCGGUCGUUCAAGUCGAGUGUGAAAGCCCCCGGCUCAACUGGGGAGGGUCAUUCGAUACUGAUCGACUCGAAGGCAGGAGAGGGAAGCGGAAUUCCCGGUGUAGUGGUGAAAUGCGUAGAUAUCAGGAGGAACACCGGUGGUGUAGACGGCUUUCUGGACCGUAACUGACGCUGAGACACGAAAGCGUGGGUAGCAAACAGG